rnacentral:rRNA from 1 species
UACAGAGGGGGCAAGCGUUAUUCGGAAUUAUUGGGCGUAAAGGGCGCGUAGGCGGCUUGGCAAGUGGAUGGUGAAAUCCCUCGGCUUAACCGAGGAACUGCCAUCCAGACUGCUUUGCUUGAGGCCGGGAGAGGUGAGUGGAAUUCCCAGUGUAGCGGUGAAAUGCGUAGAUAUUGGGAGGAACACCAGUGGCGAAGGCGGCUCACUGGACCGGUUCUGACGCUGAUGCGCGAAAGCGUGGGAGCAAACGGG